CCCCCCCCUCUCUCUCUCUCUCUCUCUCACCCCUAAUCGCCGGCGGCCCCUGGAGAUCCAAUCCGCUCGGGGAUGGCAUCGAGGGUGAUGGCGUCGUCUUCCGCUGCCAACUCCAGUCUCACGCGCCAGACCUCCGUCUGCUCUCUUCCGGUCGUCGAUCUCCAGGGAUCCGUAAUCGGAGCCGGGGAAAUCACCAAGGGCCUCGGCUCCGUGGGCAUGGAGGAGCUCUUCCGCAGCUUAUGCGUCGAGAACGCCGCCGCCCUGGAGGCGGAUGUGGGAGCCUCGGUGUCGCGACAGGGUAGCUUGGCGGCGCUCAAGAGCGUCGGCGGAAAGACGGUGGAGGAGGUAUGGAGGAAUAUCACCGCCAGCGGAAUGGUCGAUGGCCCCGGGGUAUCCAGGGCGGAGAUGACGUUGGAGGACUUCUUGGCGCGGGCCGGGGCCGUGGCGGAGGAGGACGUCGGGGUCCCGUUCGGUUCCAUCCAAGCGGGCUGUGGGACGAAUCCGGUGAUGGGGGAAACUAUUUUUCCGCCGCCGCAAUUGCCUGCGGAUGAUUUGGUUGUUGGAUUUGUCAACGGAGCAGAGGGUGCUGCAAGUAGAAACCGAAGGAGGAAGAGGCCAUUGUUGGAUCCAGUGGACAGGGUUGCUAUGCAGCGGCAGAAGAGAAUGAUAAAGAAUAGGGAGUCUGCUGCAAGAUCAAGGGAGAGAAAACAGGCAUAUAUUGUCGAGCUUGAAUCUUUAGCAGCUAAACUGGAGGAGGAAAACGCACAGCUUUUAAGAUCUCAGGAGCUGCAGCAAAGAAUGAGAAUUAAGCAGCUUCUGGAAAAUCCAGUACCAGUAACUCAGAAGAAAAGAGCACAUCUACCUCUGAGAAGAACACACUCCUUGGAGUGGUAGCGAGGAGCGACCAUUUGUUCCCUGAGAUCUUUCUCGGUGCCUUGACUAUAGAAAUAUGAGUGAGGGACAGGAGAAUCUUGCAGCUCCAAAGUUGAACAAAAGGAUUUUAUCAUCAUUGUCCAAGAGAUCAGUGGCUGCACAUCCUUGGCAUGAUCUUGAAAUAGGUUCUGAGGCCCCUGUUGUCUUCAAUGUUGUAAGUAUUCUUUAUUAUGUUGAUCGAUGAACUAAACAAAGAAGUACAUGGUUUUAUUUGACAAAUGAAAAUUGAUAUGAUGCCACUCUUUAGAGUAACUUCAAGUUUUUGACACUUAACUAGGCUUUCAAAGCAAAUGAUCAAUCAGCAAAAGGGACCAUGUUUCACUAGAAAUUUUUGUCACACACCAACAUAACUUAGUUGAGUGGAUAAGUUAGAAAACCCAAGGCCAGAUAGAAUAAGUUAACUGAUGUACCCUUGAAGAAAGUACUCACACAUAUAAUCUUUUGAAAGUUAGGCAAGUAGGAGAUAUUAGGAGAACAACAGGGGGAUUCUGUUCCAAUCUAGUAGCCAACUUUGUUACUUUCGUGACUUUUCAUUCCCACAAUUCAUUAAAUAAAUGUUUGCUUUUUGGGAAAUUCAUUAAAUAAGCUAGCCUAAAUACUCGGUUUCCAUAUGCUUAUAUACCUUUGCGAAUAUUUGUAGUCUUUCUCAUUUUUUAAUUCUUCUUUGAUAAAAAAGAAUUGGAUAUGAAAAACUAUCUUUGAAAAAUGCAUAAUGGAAAAAGUAUCCAACAAUUUGCUAUAUACAUGCCUGAUUCUCAUGUUCCCAGAGAUGGAUAUGGAUUAAAGAAUUUUUGCUUAUGCAUUCAUUGAAAAUGUGUUCAUUCGGUGUAUGUUUACUUCCACACUGGUUCCAAUGAUUGCUUUGUUGCAGACAGGAUAGGAAGUCUUUAUUUUUUUUUCAGCGUCACCUGUGUUCUUCCCUCUAACUUGCAUUAGUUUAGGAAAAUGAUGUCUUCAGGUGUUAUAACUAGUGCAUGCAUUUCAUUUACUAACUUUUUAACAAAUUUUCUUGUACCCAAUAUUAGGCCAUGACAUGGAACAUUCAGGCUAAGUUCCACAAGAGGCUGCAGUAGAAUGUAUGACUAUUUUGAUUAGCUCGGUGCUAGACAUUUUGAGUCACUCAACCUUUGCUUUCUAGCUCAUUGUUGUAACUGCUCUAGUUAUGGUUGAUAUCAUGUAAUUUCACUUUCUGGCAUCAGGUUGUGGAGAUAACAAAAGGAAGUAAAGUGAAAUAUGAACUCGAUAAGAAGACGGGGUUAAUUAAGGUUGAUCGUGUCUUGUACUCAUCAGUGGUCUACCCUCAUAACUAUGGUUUCAUUCCUCGUACACUUUGUGAAGACAGUGACCCA